AGGAGUUGUAUAAUUGGACCGCAACUAGAAGUUAAGGUAUGCACACUUGGAACUGUGAUAAAUCGAACUGCAUAUCCAUCGGACUAUUGCCAAUUGGAAGGCACUGGUCGCCAGUCACAACCAAUGCCAAUUCGAUGGAUGUCUUGGGAAAGCGUCUUACUGGGUAAAUUCAGUACGAAAUCAGAUGUUUGGUCAUUUGCCAUAACACUUUGGGAGAUUUUGACAUUUGCACGCGAACAACCGUUCGAACAUCUCAGCGAUGAAAAAGUCGUCGAGAACUUUGGUCAUAUCUACAAAGACGACAAGAAACAUGUUCUACCACCGAUGCCGCCGAAUUGUCCACGUGAAAUCUACGAUUUGAUGUGCGAAUGCUGGCAACGUAAUGAAAGUGAUCGGCCGAAAUUCCGUGAAAUUCACUUGUUUUUACAACGAAAGAAUCUGGGUUACAAGCCAGCCAACAUGCUACUGUACUAAGAAGCACAAAUUGACAAUGGUCAACCGGAUCAACUUAUAGCUGACACACAAUUUCAUGUUUUCUUUUUCUUUUUUAAAUAGUAAAUAGGGGAACACAGAACAAAUAUCAUCGUUUACUUAUCGUAUCAAUUUAAUUAAUACCUUACACAAAAUAAUGAUAAUUUCUCUUUUCUUUUUUGUCUUUUGUGUUAAGUAAUUUUUUUGACUUGUAAGCGUAACUAUGGAAUUUAGAGGAAGUGAAGAAGAAAAAAUAGUAUUAUAUAUCGUUAUGACAAAAAUCACUUGCGACACAUGUCAUUUUUUUCAUGAAUUUUCAUAUUGGGAGCUAAAUAAGGGAUAGAAAAAGUAUAAACAUUAAACACAACUUAAGCACACAUCAUUCACCAAACCACACCGUUUUUUCCCCCAAUUUUUUCCCGCGUCACAUGUAAAUUACCAGUAUAAAGAGAAUGUGUGUAAGAAUUAUUGAUUGAAAAGAAGAAAUCAGAAACAAAUCAAUUGAAAGUAACAAACAGACAGACAGGAAAAAAUAGCGACCGAACAAGGAAGGCGCAAACAAAAAAUUGUAUAUGUAUAAUAAAUCACAUGGAUUUCAUUUCAUGAAAACAAGGUCUCGCGAUUGCGAUAAUCACUAAAUAUUAAGCAAAACAUAAACAAAAGGAGACGAUUGGCCUGAUCACCACUUGAGUGUGAUUCAGUCCAGUGGUCGUCUCACACAGCUUUUGUAACCUAUGGUAAUUGUGAGUAAGUCAUCGUUACGAUAAGUCUUUUUUUUAUUUUAAUGCAAAUUCAUAAGGAAACAAAUGAAAACGAAAAAAACACUCCACCACUACCAUUACCACCACAGAAACAAAACCAAGCAAACGUUGCUCUAUCGCAAUAGCACUGGUUUAGAGUAAAAUCUCUCUCUCAUAAAAACUGCCCAUUUUCCAGUACGAACACAUUUUUUUGUUGUUGUUGUAUAAAAUGCAAAACUUUCGAGUAAAAACCAAUUCCAUCAUCGUGUAUUAUAGUGAAUUUUAGAUAUUAAAUGUUUAAGUAACACACACUGGCUAAUUAGUUGGAAAUAUGGUUCAAUAAAUUAAAUAAAAUAUUUGCUACAAAACUGCCCUUCCCGAAAUUAGCAUGCUACAAAAUGCAUGUCACCAGCACUCCCACGGUAUGCAAAUGUGUGUAUUUAAUGCAUUUAAUAACGAAUGAAGAGAAGAUCAAGAAGAAAAACUUAUUUGAAAUGUGUAUUAAAAGCAACAAAGAAAUGACAUCUGUUUUGAUUCACCGACUGCAAUCAUGUAAACUUAGUGCACGCGGUACAACAAUUGAUAUAUAUCAAUAAUUAAUAUUUAAAAAGAAGGAAGAAAAAAGAGAAUGCUGUCUAUUUUUCAUAAAUGUCACAAUAUUUUAGGCAAGAACUUAUUGAACACAAAUUAUAACUAUCGUUUUCAUUGCAAGCUAAAUGAAGAGGAAGAGCGAGUGAGUGAGAGAGAGAGAGAGAGAGAGAGAGUAUUAUAACUGUAGAAUUUAACCCGGAAUUAUUAAUGUUGACUUGAUUGUUUGAAUAAUGACUGCAACUAAACAAUAUUACAACGCACCCACAUGCGCGCACACAAACACACUCACACACACACACACACACACACCAUAAAUGUGGCGGCGUUUAGCUAAAACGAAAACACGAUGCAUGCAUGUGCUUAAUCAUUAAAUAAACACGUAAUUAAAAUAGAUUUAUCAAUAGAAUUUACGACAUUUGAAAUACCACCCAUAAAUGGCAUUUAUUAUCAACUGUGGAUUUUCCGUCAAUAGGCAAACCAAUGGUUCACCGAACCAUCUCUCUCUCUAUUUUAUUCGAUUAGCUUCUGUUUAUUUUCUGGCGAACGCGUGUGGUGAGCGAAAAUACUCGGAGAAAACACGGAUUCAAAUCGACCGUGAAUUGAAACAAAAUAUGCAAAAUAGAUCAAUUACAUUCACUGCCCCGGUGACGAAUAAUAUCCAAACUAAAAUAGACACAAAGUACCGACGUAUCCAAUUAGUUGAGAAUAUAUGUCAAAGCUCGAAUUUGUUUUUUCAAUUCGUUUAUACUCGAUGUCAAAUUGAAUGCAACGAGGUCAGCAAAAGUUUGGCCACGUUGAGCGGAAAAAAAACUCACAAAAAAAAACUCAUCACAUUGAAGAGCUAAAAUUACUUUCUCUGUCGAAUAUGGUAGUUUUACACAGAGUCUUUCAAACGAGCGCCAUAAUUAUUUUGAACUUUCAACCAUAUUUGUUUCCCUUUCACGUGCAGCUGUUCCAAUUUCAUUGCGAAAAUAUUUAAACAUUCAUUUAAACUUUCUAUGUUAGCAUUUAAAUAACUCGAGGUCGAUAUCCAUGUUUCCUUCGUGUCUUUUUGACAACAUUUUUUUUCUCUAUCUGUUCGUUCAAGCAUUCUCGUGCUCAAAACUUGUGUAUUUCUUUCCACCUUACAAAAUAUAGAACAAGCUGAUUAUUACUGUAGAUAAAACAAAAGUAUUUGAGAAAGAAGAAAUUUUUUUAAAUAAGACAGCGAAAUUAUAACUUUAACUAGUUGUACAUUGAAUUUGCGUGUAGAUUUAUGUUGAAAUAAAGAAAAAAUUCAAGAAAAAAACACAAUUUUCCCCGCAUCGAAACAUGGAACGAAAUAGAAUGCAGCUGUGCUAAACAGCGCGCAAACUGAACAAGAACAUUGGAGCUACGGAUGAAUAUGUUCGGAGUUUAGAAUGAGUUAAGAGAUGAAAUGCGUAGACAUUAGACACUUAGGUACAUUUAAAACAAAACACAUACAAUUUAACACGAAUUAAUUAGAUGUUAAGUAAAUUCUUUAGAAGAAAUGUAUAGAACUUUUUUUUCUCUGCGGUUUGGUUUUUCCUUUUUUUUGAGGCAUUUUUUUUUUUAGUUAAGCGUAAUACAAGUUUUUUUUCUGACAUUUAUUUAUACGUUAAGGAAACCGGUCAAUAUAUAUUUAGCACAUAAUCAUUUUUGAAGAGAAAAAGUAACUACAACACACACACACACACACAAAAACAAAAAAUCGCCUAUCCUGUCUCCUUUCUCAUUUUAAACACACAAUUUAUUCAAAAUGUUCAAUAAAAAUUUCAAUUUCACUAAACAUCAUUCUGUUUUAUUGGUAGCCAUUUUGCCUUGCUUUUUAGUUUGCUUCCUUUUUUUUAUUCCUGGAAAAUUCUUUCUUAACUCUCGAUUUGGACUACAAACACAAUUCAACGAUUUUAUUUUUCUUAUUUUCCUUUAGCAACAUUCUUACGAUUUUAUUUAGUUUUGUUUUCUCUUUCGGAAAAUUUGUACCUUUCUCUUGCCUUUUCAAUUCUUGAACACCUUCUCCUCUCCUGUACUGUAAAUACUUAAAAAAAUUACUGCCUGUUAAAUUUAUUAGGCUAAAAUGGAAAAUGGGUAACGUUGAAACGCCAAAACGGUAAAUGAUUGAAUUUUUGACAAUAAAAUCUCUGAAUUACUUUUUACUUGAUUCCUAAACACAAACCAUACAACAAUUUGAGUAAAGUUUUUCAAAUGAAAUAAGCAUAUAAAAGCACAGACACACAAUGUUACGGUUGUAAAUAAAGUAGUGAGAAACAAAGAAAUUGUUUCAAUUUUGUUGUUGUUUGCACGCUACAAGCGACACCCGACAAGGUAAUGAAUGACAAAAUAAACUCAAGCAGUUUUAUGUUGAUGAAGAAGCCAGAUGAAUAGAAAGAAGAAAGAACAGGCAAUGCUGACCGAAAGAAAACAAUUUAUGUUAAUUUUACACAAAUUGAUAGCCAAUCAUUCAGAAUGACCACUCAGAAUGCUUAAGUAAAGAACAAUUGUGUACAGAAUGAAAAACCGUAGUAAUAAUAAUAAUGAAAGCAAAGCAAAGAGACAAAAUGAAAUAGUGUAGUGGAAAGUCGUCGAUUUGCAUUCGAAAGUUGAACACCGAGAUCAACGAUAGAUGAAUACACCGACAGCAACGGCAACCGUGAGGAACGAAACAAAAAAAAAGUCGGCUGAGAGAUAGAGUCAACAUUGAUGGCAGCUUUAGAUCAAAGCAACAAAGUGACAGAGAAAUAAAUUGGUAUGAAAAAGAAUACGUAAUGACUGGCGUCGACCAAGAAGAGAGCGCGAGAGUAAAAAAAGCAUACACAAACUGCCAAGAGAAUAAAAAUAAAGUUAAAAUAGAGAAAAAAAAAACACAGAAAAACAGGGAAUAAAAAAAAGAGAAAUGCAAACAGAAUGCUUGAAACUCAGUGAAUGCAAAAUAGUAAUCUCAAUUUGCUGGUGAAUGAACGAACGAACGAAAAAAAAUCACGAGUAGAAUUAGAGUGAGAAUGAGUGAGAGAUAGAGAGAUAGAGAGAGAGUCGCCAUCACUCCACACACACACAAUGAAAUGGACGAAUGACAAUUGAGCACAAAUACACACACACAAAUCAGCUAGAAAUUAUCAUCACGGCUUUGAAUACACAGAACAAAACAGAAGAAAAAAAUGACAACAUUGCGUAAUAUAAUUCAAUAGUACACACUCAUACUAUACAAUAGCCGAGACGAGCUAAAAUCCUGCACUUUGUAGACAGAAAGCAAAUAAAAAUUUAUCGAUUAUCGAGAAUUGUGCUGCAAAUAGCGAAAUGAAUGAUAACAGAGAAGUGAGUGAAAAAUAGACGACAAUGAAAGAAACAGAAGAAAAACCGACGAAGAAAUAAAUGCAAAACUUACACAAACAAGAAAAAUCACUGCCGAGACACACGAGCUCAACAAUAAAAGAGAAAAUGAAAACGUUAUUCUCCUCCGUUUUGUCUCUCACUCGUUUUUUUUUUUCAUUCAAUCCAAUCCUUCGAGGUGUGUUUUCUUUCAUUCCAAUUGCCAACUCACUCUCUCUUUCUCUCGGUCGGUGUUCGGUGUGUUUCAAUCAUUGAUUCAUCCCGUGCGUCGUUUUAUACAAAUAAAUAUUGCAGCUAGAAGAUAUUUUAUCAUUUGAACUUAGCGAUAGAGAGGGAGAAAAUGAACGAUCGACGGAGAGAGAGAGAGAAAUGUGCAGAACCGCAAGAAAAUUUAUAGUCAUGUGAAAAGUAGAAAUCGAAAUCGACGAUUGAGAGAAGAAGAAGAAGAAGAAAAAGAAGAAGAAGAAGAAGAAGAAGAAGGAAGCAAGAAAUUGAUGGAAAUUGAAAGCCAAGCAACGUAAAAAGAAGAAGAAGAAAAGGAGAAUGAGAAGAAGGAAGAAGAAGAAGCAGAAAUUGUAGUAAUGGAAAGGAAUUACAUUGAGCUCAUCUACUGUGUUUGUUGUUGUUACAAUUGCUGUCGUUAUAAAUCUGGGAUUUUAUAAUAAGUUUUCUGCGCGCGCGUUCUCUCUUUUUCAUUUUGCUUUGAUAGUUCGUAAAUAUAACACAUACACUCUUACACAAAAACACGCUUCCAUAUCUCCCGUUUACACAAACGCUUGACAACCCCAUGCCAAAAGCGAGAAAAAAACCGACGAAACACAAAAAAAAGCGGAUCGAAACAUCCACCACAGUAGCAUAAAUAUCGAAAUAUAUUGCAUCAAAUAUUGGCCAAUAUUACAAUUUUCUCUUGUGAAAUUUGUUUUGAAGACAUUUCGAUUCCGUUUUCCGUCGUGACCACAAACAAUACCGUGCUUGUCGUUGUCGUCGCCAUCGUCGUGUAUGCACCGAUCUAGCGCUGUGCAUGUAUUCGACUGACACAUCUUUUCGCGUAUUGUUUGUAUUUCGUGUGCGAAAGCCCAUUUGUUUUGUUCGGUAUUUAUUGCAUGUGAAGGCAUUUCAGUGUGAAGAACAUGUGCAAAAACAUAUUGAAAUGGCUUGUUUGCUGCUGCUGCUCUUCGACAUGUCGUUAUUUUUUUCGUUCGUUAUUUCACUUUUUUCUUAGCUCCUCCACACACACACACACACCACUCGUUGACUGGCCCCACUCCCAUAUUCCAAAGUGCGGUGCAUUUUUCUAUUCAAUUUAAUAAAAAUUUAUAUUUAUAUUUAUAUUUUGGUGUGUGUCGGGCACAAGGUACACAGAGUAUAAAACUAGAGAAAAAUGUCGAAUUGCGGUAAUCUGGAUGCCUGAAUGGCAACAGCUGAAAUGUAAAUUUUAUAGCAACCAAUAACAUACAUACAUAAAAAGCCAAGUCAACAAAUACAACUCAAAGUAUUCCAAGUCAUCGAAUUGCAUUCGGAACAAAACAACAGCAACCACCACCAGAAAAAAGAGAGAAAGGAAAGAGGAAAAACCUCCGAAUGGAUCUAUCGAUGUGUAUUUGUAUAUUUUAUUACGGUGAGAAAAGGAGAAUCAUACGGAAAAUAAAGGCGAGAUGGGUGGAAACAGGGCGAUAUAUCUCUAUUUCUAGAAUGUGUGCGGUAUGGAUUUUCGCAUACACACAGUUUGCGCCAAGAGACACAUUCUGCACAAACCCGAAUGCCGAAUGCACGUAAGCUGAGUAAGUAACUUUUGUGUACCGGUGUGCGAUUCUUCUUUCCUCUUUCGUUGUGUUUUUUCCCCUAUUCGGAAUGCUGAGGAUGACGCUGAUUUUCAAUAGGAUCAACAGAAAUUUAUCACAAAAAAACCACAAUAUCUCGCCAAGUUGUACUGUUUGGCAACGAGUAGCAUCAGCGGCAGCAGAAGCAAGCAACAAUAGCAUAAAUCGAAAGGAGAUUUUUCCGUCUGUAAGCAGUACCCAACUAAUAAUCUUUCGCUUAAUGUCCAUACAAAGGUACCAAAUUGAUAAUCGUCUCAAAGCGACAAGCAACACUUGCAACACAAUACAUCCAAAUGCGGGGUAAGGAGAUCAGGAUGAUUGUUUGUUGGGAUACAAACACUUUUGUUACAUUUAAAACCGCAUCGAUUCCAGAACAUAUUCGGACGCAUGAAUGCCUUCGCUCUUUUUUCAAUAUUGCCCACCGUAUAUACUCCAUUCAAAAAUGUAUAAAUCGUCAAAAGCCUUUGAUUUUGUAUUCAAUUUGACUGUUGUUAUGGCCAUCGUGGCAUAAUAUUUCUGAAGCAAGAAAUUGAAAAACAAUUUUCCUCUGUCUCACUCAUUCAAAACUAACGGUAUCGCAUUGAACAUUGGGCAACAUUCCAAUAUACUUGACUGAACUAUUUUGAGUGGAUUCCUCACAGCUCAGGAUGUACGAACAAUAGGAAGCGAUCAAAUGAAACCGACAGAUGUUUGCUGCAAACAGUUUGCACUGGCAAAAUUGCGUUGUGGCAACAGAAAAAAAAAACAGACCGAAGCGGGUUUCAUCUUUUAAAAAGAGGCCAUUGAACGGCGGUAGUUGAGUAUUUGCCUCGGCGGUUGCUGUGGAGAUUCACUUUCUUGCAACGAACAAAGAAUGAAAUUCUUGGCAAAAAAAUGGAUAUUACCAACGAUGAACUCACGCUAUCCAUAGAGACAUUUCAUUUAAUAUUCGCACUUUUUUCUUGCUGUACGCAAGAUCGCAAAAUGAGUUCAUUUUCAACUUUUCAGCGAUUUUUUUCUUCGUACAGAAAUACUUCAACGAAUUUCAUUAGGCAACAUAAAAGAAGUGACACUCCGUCGCGGAAGGAAGUGUCACAUCAAACGAAACACACAAUGUUCGUUACGCACGUAAAUUCUUUAAUAUGUUCACUGUCUCAAUUUUAGUUUAUGAACAGCGCAUUUUAUCGAGUCAACUUCCCCUUGAUAAUGCACACACACCAUAUUACUGAAUUUAUUAAAUAGCUUCAGCGGGUGAAUAUUUUUUUUUCCCUCGGCUUCGUUUUUUGGAAAUGCAUUGAUACCUAUUGAUUUUGUUUUGAUAAAGCCGUUGCAUACACCUGAUUCACUCGAUUGUGAAUGGGAGAAAGGAUCGCAUUACGAUUUUAUCAUGCAAAUCACGAACACAUUUCAUAUGUAAAACCUAAUGUCUAUAAUAGACUAUAAAUACACGUGCACGGAAAAUUUGAGGUUUGGUUUUGUCGAUGAAGAGCAAAAAAAGUAUGAACGAAAAUUCAUCCCCGAAAAAAAGCAGCAGAGAAGAAAAAAAUUCAUCGUGUGCAUGUAAAAUGCAUAUGAUCAAGAGACUAGACUGGAUAUUACUUCGAUAUCAGCGAAGCCAAGAGGGGAGAGAAGAGGUGGUUGACAAAAAAAAAAAAACUUAAGUAUCCUGAAACAUGAUAUUUGUUCGAUUCAAUUCACUGGCGAUUCGAUCUCGCUCUUUCUCUCUAUCUCUCUCUCACACACACACACUUUUCAUGUGCUCUUUGCCGAUGUGCCGAAAUAAAUGUGUGUUUGUCGGCAUUAACCUCUGUCUACAAAGUUAUGUGAGCGCAUUUUCGGUAGUAGUUGUCGUCGUUUUUUCUUUCGGUGGUGUGUCUAUGCCAUUUGCACCGUUGCUGCUUUGAGACCAUGGGGAUUUUUAUGUCGCACACAUAUCGCAGUGUAAUGCGCUUUAAAGGUGGCAUGGAAUGCAUGCAUUUCGAUACAAUACAGUCAACGUCUAACGACGACUUCUCCGGGUUUGUUUCAUCGGCAAUGGUGUGCGCCAGACGAUUUUUCAUGGAUACACCAAUAAAUUCAAAUUUAAGUAAAUAAUACGUUCACAUUGCAUGCUCCCUGUCUCUCGCAUUGGGGCCAGCCACCAUCACCGCCUCCGCUGUUGCUACACUUUUUUCUCGCCGUCAUCGUCAUCGUCGAAUGCACAACUCGGAGGGUAUAAUUUAUUUAUUUGCUUUUGGUGGCACAAAUCCGAGCAAAACAAUUUUUGCCCGAAAAGCGUUGUGUUGGCUUUGCCGUUUCAUCCAUUCAGUCCGUCAUGAUUUCCAGGUAUACAUGACACACGUAUGUACUUGUACAUGCUACGACUGCUGAUGCUAUGCGUGCAAUAUUUAUUCCACCUCAAUAAUUCGCGUGAGUGUGUUGCUUGCGCUACCUCCCUCGCCACCGUCGCCCGAUUUUUUUUAUUUCUCUCGCCGGAAUUCAUUUGAUGCGACGAUGUGCACAACGAAGAUAAAUGUCAAGUGACGGUAUGCACUAGCAUUAUUCAUGCAUCUUAGUGGUCCCAAUCGUAAAUAACACACGAAUUAAAAUCAUCCAGGAAGGAAGUGACGCAUUUCGAGACCAGCUGCGAACGGAAACAUCUCUUUUUGGUAGUUGUGUAAGCAAGCCCAUGCCGCAAUCGAUUAAUUUGCCUCAAUCACAUCCGAUAUUGUCUUCUUCUUGUCUGUUACACAUCAAUAAAUACCGAACUCUGCAGAACAAAUACUGAAAUUCGAUUUGACGAUAAGGUCGACGAAAAACAAAUGUCAGUCAUCAAAAUAAUUCCAAAUGAAUGUCUCGUAUUCCCUCAAUAUGCCCGUUCCCGUGCCCAUUGCAUUGCUAAUCGAACAUUUUCAUCGAUUUGUAACGAUUCACUUGAUCCACACUCACUACGCUAACGACACCGAACGAUUCUAAAUCUAUUUUCCCCAAAAUACAAAUUUCCCUUGUGCCUUUUUCAAUUAACUAAAUAAAUGAACAAAACAAAGGAGAAGAAGAAGAAACGUAUCGAAAAUGAAAAUUAUGCUGCGAAUUACUUUUCCUUCGAAAAGAAGAAGAAAAACACAAUUCCGGAAAGGUAAAUUUACUUAUCAACUGUAACUUCCCAUUGUUUUCUCCUUUGUCUCUGUGACGCACCGUCAUUCGAUUUUAUUUUUGUUUCAAAUUCCAUAUCGGUGUUGAAUUUAUUUGUAUCUAGACAAAUUUCCUCCUCUUUGUAGACUUAGAAGAAACACAAUUUUCAAGUGUACAUAGGUAAAGCGUUUAAUUGUAACAUUCACAUAAUUACGGUCACAGCUAUUACUAAUAAGCCAAAAAUUAAGUGAUUCAUCAAAUGACAUGAAUUGAAGACAUAUAAAGAGAUAAAGACAUAUAAUUUUGUUCAAUAACAAAAAAAAAACAUUCACUUUAUGCGUAGGAUUAAUUAUUGAAAUUUCAUUAAACAUUUAGUAGUUAAGUAAAAUUAAUUGAAAAAAGAUAAGCAAAAAUGUUGAAGCGCAAAAAAGCUCAAGUCUAUUGAUUCUCGGUGAAUAAGUUUCAGUCAAUUUUUUUUUCGUUGAGAAAAAAAAAACACAAACACACACACACAAUUUAGCAUUAACGAAAUAUACAUAUACAAAUAUAUAUACGAUCGUACAUUUUUAUCGAUGUGACUUUUGAAUAGACACUUAAUGUAUUUGUAAAUGUUUGCACGAUUUAAAAUAUAUUUGCAUAUUUCACCAUCCAACGAGAAUACAUAUUUCGCCUACAUUGUUUCCAACUUACUCUCUGUUUGCUGACCCAAUAUCGAGUCGAUACAUCCAAUAUUCAUAUUUUUUCCCAUUAAAUUAACGUAUAAAUUUCUUUUUUUUUUUUGUCGAAUUCCAACUUUUUUUCAAAUCCAAAUGUUGAUGACACAAAAAGUGUUUAAUUGGCUAAAUAAAUUGAAACAACGAUUUUUCAUUACUUUUAUUUAUUUUUGGAAAUAUGAAACACUGAACGAACGAAUAUUUGGAAUAUUUAAACAGAUUUUCUACAUUUAAAUAAGUUUUUGAUGUUAAAAAUGAAUUUAUUGCUAUUCGUCAGAAUUGACCACAUUUUUUACUGAUUUCAUUUUUGGUGCUGAGAUGAAAAAAAGAGUUUUAUGGUUUAUACAACAAACUGUUUAACAAACGGUGCAAUUGAUGGAAUGAAAGUACAAUUUUACGCAAUAAAAUUGCUUGAUUUGUUCAACAAACACAGAUUUUCCGAAUGAAAUUCCACUGAGAAGGAUCACAUAUAAUCAUUCAAAAUCGUUCGAAACAUCAUAACAGCGCAAACCACGCUCUCAAUUUCACCUCGUCGAUAUAUUGUUAAUUGAUGUUUUCAUUGCGAUAUUUUUCAAUUAUUCUAAUAUUUCGUGUGUAAAUUCAACCAAAAUCCCAUUCAUUUAUCGAUUCACAUAAUGGAACUCGUUCCAUUAAAUUAAAUGCAUAAUAAUAUUGUCAGGAAAAACACAUCCAAUAUUUUUUCGUUCUAAUUAAACUGAAAUAGAAUUGUAUAGAUGAAACAAAGUAAAAAAAAAGAAGAAACGAGUUGGUCAAUGCAAUAUUUGUUCCGUGUUUGGCGAAUCAAUUGAAAAAAUCAUGUUUAUAAAGUAGUUCCUGUGUUUGAUAAAAUCCUUUUAAAUAAACCUAUUAUAUGGAAGUUUUGUUUUUUUGUUGAAAAUAAAACCAUUCAUUUCGCAUAGUAUUAAAACUGCUGCCAAAUAGUUUUCGGUCCAUCAGUGAAAUUGUUUCUGCGAAAAAGUGAAUGCGGAAGCGGUAAAGCAUACAGCCAGAGGUUUAUUUAAAACAAUACUGUAUCAAACAAAAAAGUAAGCCAGCAGUAGAGUAUAAGCAGAGCGAGAGAGAGAGAAAGAGAAAAUUCAUGAAUAAUAACACUUUAUUAAAUAAACAUGUGCAAUAUUUUGACUGGAUAGCAAAUACAAAAACAAAGCGAACACACACACACACACGACCGGCAAACAAACCAAAAGCAAAAUCAUUCGCGAACUCAUUAAAUAUUUAAUUAUCAACAGGAUAUCGCUAAAAAUUAACUAACGAAACAUUUUGCACACAAUGCACCGUGUAUGCGUCGCGUGCGCGCACAUGGUGGCAAAAACUUAUUAUCGCUGCGGAAUAAUUUCGCGUAGCAUUCAUUUUUUGGUUGAGCCAACAACACAAUUCCGAAUUAUACAAAUUUUGCGUAACAUGAAGAGAAAUUUUUAAAAAAUAUCGUCGUUUUUUUUUAACUCUCACCGCGACGCUUUUGUUCGUGUGCAUCGUAUUGUUUCUGUCGACACAGUCAUUACCGAUAGUGAGGGUGUGUUUGACCACAGCUGAACACAUGCCGAACAAAACACAUAGUAUUAUUAUUGCAGAAUAUAUCAUACCAUUCCACAUAAUAACUAGAUUCAUUUGUUGUUGUUAUUUUCUCUUCUUUUGCAAAUCCAUAAAUGUUUCAUAAACACGAUGCAAAAAUGCAAGCCAGGAAAUAAAAACCACACAAUAUUUUACGAACUGGAUACUCAGCUAUUUUGUGUGACCAUAUUUAUUAAUUCUUUUACAACAUUUUUGGGCAUUCCAUGGAAUAAUAUUAAUUAAAACUUGUAUUUUUGUGUAAUGUUUGUUACAUUCCAUGCGAUCCUUUUACUUUUCAUUUGUUUCGAAACAAAAAGACAUACCAAUUACAAUUCAGAUAGAAACGACGUUUUUUUCGACAUUUUUUUUUUGAUCAAUAUACCAAAAAUGAUACAUUUGGUCCGAUUUAUAUGGUGGAUAAAUUUAAAAAUGAAUUUCUAAAGAAACAUUUAUCACAAGAAAAUGGCACACAUUCAAUGGAAAAAUCCCACAUACACGAACACAUGAAACUAUUUUAUUGUCUCUUUGGAAAUAUUGAAGGAGAUCAAUUGAUAAUGUUUAAGUUACGCUAUUCUUAAAUGUAAGAUUACAAUUGAAUUGAAUAAAAGAAAGUAUUUAAUUACAAGGAGAAAAUCCCACACAAGACACACACUCACACACAAAA